GAUGAACGCUGGCGGCGUGCCUAAUACAUGCAAGUCGAGCGAACGGACGAGAAGCUUGCUUCUCUGACGUUAGCGGCGGACGGGUGAGUAACACGUGGAUAACCUACCUAUAAGACUGGGAUAACUUCGGGAAACCGUAGCUAAUACCGGAUAAUAUUUUGAACCGCAUGGUUCAAAAGUGAAAGACGGUUUUGCUGUCACUUAUAGAUGGAUCCGCGCUGCAUUAGCUAGUUGGUAAGGUAACGGCUUACCAAGGCAACGAUGCAUAGCCGACCUGAGAGGGUGAUCGGCCACACUGGAACUGAGACACGGUCCAGACUCCUACGGGAGGCAGCAGUAGGGAAUCUUCCGCAAUGGGCGAAAGCCUGACGGAGCAACGCCGCGUGAGUGAUGAAGGUCUUCGGAUCGUAAAACUCUGUUAUUAGGGAAGAACAUAUGUGUAAGUAACUGUGCACAUCUUGACGGUACCUAAUCAGAAAGCCACGGCUAACUACGUG
rnacentral:rRNA from 1 species